GCUGGAGGUAUCAGAAGUGCGAAUGCUGACAUAAGUAACGAUAAAGCGGGUGAAAAGCCCGCUCGCCGGAAGACCAAGGGUUCCUGUCCAACGUUAAUCGGGGCAGGGUGAGUCGACCCCUAAGGCGAGGCCGAAAGGCGUAGUCGAUGGGAAACGGGUUAAUAUUCCCGUACUUGGUGUUACUGCGAAGGGGGGACGGAGAAGGCUAUGUUGGCCGGGCGACGGUUGUCCCGGUUUAAGCGUGUAGGCUGACUUUCCAGGCAAAUCCGGAGAGUCAAGGCUGAGGCGUGAUGACGAGGCACCACGGUGCUGAAGCAACAA
rnacentral:rRNA from 1 species